UAUCGGAUUGAUACUAAGCCAUGCGAGUCAUUGUAGCAAUACAAGGCAUACGGCUCAGUAACGCGUAGUCAACCUAACCUAUGGACGGGAAUAACCUCGGGAAACUGAGAAUAAUGCCCGAUAGAACAUUAUGCCUGGAAUGGUUUAUGUUCCAAAUGAUUUAUCGCCGUAGGAUGGGACUGCGGCCUAUCAGUUUGUUGGUGAGGUAAUGGCCCACCAAGACUAUUACAGGUACGGGCUCUGAGAGGAGUAGCCCGGAGAUGGGUACUGAGACACGGACCCAGGCCCUAUGGGGCGCAGCAGGCGAGAAAACUUUGCAAUGUGCGAAAGCACGACAAGGUUAAUCCGAGUGGUUUCUGCUAAAGGAACCUUUUGUCAGUCCUAGAAACACUGAUGAAUAAGGGGUGGGCAAGUUCUGGUGUCAGCCGCCGCGGUAAAACCGGCACCUCAAGUGGUCAGGAUGAUUAUUGGGCCUAAAGCAUCCGUAGCCGGCUCUGUAAGUUUUCGGUUAAAUCUGUACGCUCAACGUACAGGCUGCCGGGAAUACUGCAAAGCUAGGGAGUGGGAGAGGUAGACGGUACUCGGUAGGAAGGGGUAAAAUCCUUUGAUCUAUUGAUGACCACCUGUGGCGAAGGCGGUCUACCAGAACACGUCCGACGGUGAGGGAUGAAAGCUGGGGGAGCAAACCGGAUUAGAUACCCGGGUAGUCCCAGCUGUAAACCAUGCAAACUCAGUGAUGCAUUGGCUUGUGGCCAAUGCAGUGCUGCAGGGAAGCCGUUAAGUUUGCCGCCUGGGAAGUACGUACGCAAGUAUGAAACUUAAAGGAAUUGGCGGGGGAGCACCACAAGGGGUGAAGCCUGCGGUUCAAUUGGAGUC
rnacentral:rRNA from 1 species